UAGCUUAGUUGGUAAAGCACUCGUCUAACAUGCGAGAGUCGUGGGUUCGAUACCCAC
rnacentral:tRNA from 1 species